rnacentral:rRNA from 1 species
AUUGAACGCUGGCGGCAGGCUUAACACAUGCAAGUCGAGCGGGGUGAUGGCGCUUGCACUAUCACUUAGCGGCGGACGGGUGAGUAAUGCUUAGGAAUCUGCCUAUUAGUGGGGGACAACAUCUCGAAAGGGAUGCUAAUACCGCAUACGUCCUACGGGAGAAAGCAGGGGAUCACUUGUGACCUUGCGCUAAUAGAUGAGCCUAAGUCGGAUUAGCUAGUUGGUGGGGUAAAGGCCUACCAAGGCGACGAUCUGUAGCGGGUCUGAGAGGAUGCUCGGCACCACUGGGCAUGAGACACGGCCCAGACUCCUACGGGAGGCAGCAGUGGGGAAUAUUGGACAAUGGGGGGAACCCUGAUCCAGCCAUGCCGCGUGUGUGAAGAAGGCCUUAUGGUUGUAAAGCACUUUAAGCGAGGAGGAAGCUCUUUUGGUUAAUACCCAAGAUGAGUGGACGUUACUCGCAGAAUAAGCACCGGCUAACUCUGUGCCAGCCGCCGCCGUAA